CUCCAAAUUUUCAUUUUUUUUCCUUCUUUUUUUCCCUUUCUUUCUUCUUCUUCUUCCUCUCGAUUUCUUCUGAGAACAACGAUCUUUAUCAACCAGAGAUGAAUUAGAGGCUUCGAGAUUGAAAUAAGAGGAGAUCGAUCCUGCAUUAAGUAACGGUAGCGGUGUUGUUCUCAAUAGCUGUAUCUGACUCAAGGAAACAAGAUAAUUCAGAGAGAAGGAAAUCGACAUUGGGGGAAAUUAAAAUUAUUGCACCCAUCCUAAUUUUAAUAUCAAAUUCAAUAUGGGUUUCAACUUCAAUUGUUAUUAUUACAUCUUGGGUAUUGAACCAAGAGUCUAUGGUAAUGGAGUUUACACAGGGUUGAGGAGUUCAGGAAAUUGGCGAGAUCAUGUCGAGAUGGAAAAGCACUUGCAUGUCAGGUGACAAUUACAAAACUCUGACCAUGGCAGCUGUGGUGAGGACGAGCGUCCAUUAAAUGAGUUACUCAUCUUGCAGCUCGGAUCCGAGCACCCUAACCGCCGUUACAACAUUUCUUUAUGUAAGAUUUUUGGUAGUCAUUGGAACCAUGAGAAAAGAAAGGUUUCCACAAGGAGCAGAGACUGAAUUGGGUCUAUGUGAAUAAAGAAGAGCAACAUAAGAGAGCUAGUGAAACAGAACCAAAGCAAGCUGUGUUGCGCAACUCAGAAACGGAAAACAAGUGAUUCUAAGCCAUGCGAAGUGGAAUCCGAACAAGAAGAACACUCGCUUUCAUUGUCGCAGAAUUCAUCUCCUUCCCAAUCUGACCAAGAGCAGACACCGAUUAAAGCAACACCUCGUCCAUUAUUUUUGUUGAAGCAACGUUUUCAGAAUCCAAAUGUAAACAAUGUCGUAGAGACUCAACCCGAUCAGAUUAGUAGCACUCGAAGUAGCCCACAAGAUUUUCAUUUUGUGUCUGGAGAAAAUCCUAGACACCCCCAAAGCAGGAACAGUUUCUACAUAUGAACGUAGGCUGGCCAGAAGGACAAUUUUCCAUGGAUCGCAAACCAAUUGAAGCUAUGCCAGUGCAUUCCUUGGUUGGAGCUGAUGUUUGAGGUAAUGUGGAUGGAGCAUUCGAUUCAGGAUUCCUAAUGACUGCAAAUGUUAAUGGCAAGAUCCUUAGAGGAAUCUUAUUUGCUCCUAGAAACGGGUUUGUACCAAGCGAGUGCCGUUCUUCCUCCAAGUUCACCAGCUUUAGGUAAUUUAGUUUUGCGUCAAUUUUUCCGGUCGGCCGUCCCACCGUGGCAGCGGUCAUCUAGUAAUAUUAUUGUCAUGAACUCCAGUAGCUAAGCAUCUUCAUUAGGGACGAUUUCGAUGUCCGAACAUGAUUCAUAAUUGAUAUUUAAAGUGUCUGUUUUCUUGUAAAUCAUCUUGUUAUUGUUCAUUCUUUACCAUGCUAAUAUUGUUUAUGUGAAUUAUCUAUGAAUCGUUUAAGUCGCG